GGGUGCGAUCAUACCAGCACUAAAGCACCGGAUCCCAUCAGAACUCCGAAGUUAAGCGUGCUUGGGCGAGAGUAGUACUAGGAUGAGUGACCUCCUGGGAAGUCCUCGUGUUGCACCCCU
rnacentral:rRNA from 1 species